UAGCGGAGGAAAAGAAACCAACUGGGAUUACCUUAGUAACGGCGAGUGAAGCGGUAAAAGCUCAAAUUUGAAAUCUGGUACUUUCAGUGCCCGAGUUGUAAUUUGUAGAAUUUGUCUUUGAUUAGGUCCUUGUCUAUGUUCCUUGGAACAGGACGUCAUAGAGGGUGAGAAUCCCGUUUGGCGAGGAUACCUUUUCUCUGUAAGACUUUUUCGAAGAGUCGAGUUGUUUGGGAAUGCAGCUCAAAGUGGGUGGUAAAUUCCAUCUAAAGCUAAAUAUUGGCGAGAGACCGAUAGCGAACAAGUACAGUGAUGGAAAGAUGAAAAGAACUUUGAAAAGAGAGUGAAAAAGUACGUGAAAUUGUUGAAAGGGAAGGGCAUUUGAUCAGACAUGGUGUUUUUUGCAUGCACUCGCCUCUCGUGGGCUUGGGCCUCUCAAAAAUUUCACUGGGCCAACAUCAAUUCUGGCAGCAGGAUAAAUCAUUAAGAAUGUAGCUACUUCGGUAGUGUUAUAGCUUUUUGGAAUACUGUUAGCCGGGAUUGAGGACUGCGCUUCGGCAAGGAUGUUGGCAUAAUGGUUAAAUGCCGCCCGUCUUGAACCACGGACC
rnacentral:rRNA from 1 species